CUCACCGUGAUUCUGUACUGGGUGAACAUGGAUGGAGGGAUAGAUGUUUUGAAUAUCUCAUCUGACACUGCACAAACAAUAGCCACGCAGCAGAUAUUCAUAACGUUGACACCUACGCUGCUACCCUGAGCUGGCUCCCUUGCUCUCCCCAGAACACAUGAGCUGCAUUCUUACCUGCAUGAGGGCGCUCUAAUGAGCUUAAAUGAGCCUUUGCAAGCUGACACAAGUUCACGGCCGUCCUCCUGACAGGCUGGGACGCACGGAGGGUGAAUGGAGGACAAGCUCUGUGCAAUACAACAAUUCAAAGUGGACACAAGUCUUCCUGCGAGAGUGUACUGUGCUCUAGGACAUGGAUUUGGACUGGCAUCUUUUCCUGUCUUGAAGUCUAAUACCACGUUGAAUGUGGAACAGCAAAGCCAUGGGUACAGAAUCCCGGAGACAUAUUUCACACAGAGGUUACGCUGCUCGAGUCCAUAACAUCCAGAAUGUUCUGGUGCACAGGGUAGCUGCUCCAUCAGGUGGUCAUACCUGGAUGGAGCUUCUGUUAGAGUUCAAGAAUUUUCAUAAGCCGACAGACAGACUGAGAGAGAGAGACAGAGAUACAGGGGUCCACGCUGGUAAGUACUGAGGAGGAAGUGAUAAGGAAGAAAGAGAGGAGAGAGACAGGGGACUACUCUGGUAAGUACUGAGGAGAGAGUGAGGAGAGAGACAGAAAGGAGAGAGACAGAGAGAGACAAAGAGACAGAGGUCCAUGCUGGUAAACAGUAAGGAGGAAGUGAGAGAAAGACAGAAAGGAGAGAGACAGAGAGAGACAAAGAGACAGAGGUCCAUGCUGGUAAACAGUAAGGAGCAAGUGAGAGAAAGACAGAAAGGAGAGAGACAGAACAGAAACAAAGAGAUACAGAGGACCACGCUGAUUAGUACUGAGGAGGAACUGAGAGAAAGACAGAAAGGAGAGAGACAGGGAGAGACAGAGGACUACUCUGGUAAGUACUGAGGAGGAAGUGAGGAGAGAGACAGAGGACCAUCCUGCUAUGUACUGAGGAGGAAGUGAGGAGAGAGACAGAGAGAGAGGAGAGACAGAGGACCAUCCUGCUAUGUACUGAGGAGGAAGUGAGGAGAGAGACAGAGGACCACGCUGGGAGCCCCCCUGCCUUGUCCCCUGUGCUUCUUGGGACAGGCUCCAGACACUGCACAACCCUGUACUGCAAAGCGGUUAGAAGAUGGAUGUUAUGGAUGCAUGCUCCUGACCAAAUUAAAUCCCAUAACUUCAUUCUGGAGCCAGCAUCUUCUCGCUACAUACAGCCACGCACAACGGAAUUAUAUCCCAAGACGUA